GGAGGUCCGGGGCGGAGAGCAAGCCGAGCGGCCGCCGGUGCCCACUCCCGCAGGCCCGCCCCUCGGGCUGUGACCUCCCGAGCCUGGGCAGCCCCUCGGGGCAGUCCCCGCGCCGGAAGCCCCGGAGCCCGGGAUGAGGCCGGAAUUUCAGAGCGGAGAACAACCGCAGAGACCACCCCACCGCUUCCUUGCUGCGGAGGGGCACACGGACCCGAGCGGAGAGGGGACUUGCCAAAAGGCACGUAAGCAUCUGGAGCUGAGCCAGAGCUGGAGCUCAGGGCCCCAGAGUUGGGUCCAGGGCUCUCCUGGACAACUUCAUAGAGCUCCCACAAAUUCGAGGACCCCUAAAGAAGAUUGUUUGCAUACUUACUGCUCCAGACAUUGCCACAAUAGUCAUAGAUCCUCUGUGAGUUCACAAAGCCUUGCUUGGACCGGUUCCUGCUCAUGGCGUCAUAAAUGGUGGCAGGACCUUGAAGGGCUAAGGAGGCUCAAGGAGGUAGACCGAUAUGAACUAGAAUCUUCAGUUAGGAACACGGCUUGCACAUCCUGGGGGAAGAUUAGCUCUGGGCUCUCCUUACUGGAAUGCUGAACACACUUAACUUCCCCUGUCUUCUCUCUCACCUCUUCUUUGUCCAGCCACGGAUUUUCUGAAAUUGCCUUCUUUGUUCAGGCCACGGGAAGAACAUCAAGAAAGAAGAGGCCCUUGGACUGGGCAUUAGCGGAGCUAAAUUUGAGUCCUGGCUCUGCUGUGUGGCUCUGGGCAAGUCCCUUCCCUUCUCUGAUACUCAGCUUCCCCUUCUAGACUGUGAAGGAAUCAGACAAGAUGAUCACUAAGGGACCUUCCAUUUUGACACCGGAAAGUGCCUUCUCGGUACCAGUGUCAGAGACCAAGAGGACAACUGAUCUUAGAAUCUGGAGAAAAGGGAGCUCUGUUCCACUUUUUGUGGUCACACGGCAUUCUACAUAGUGGAUGUGAAAGGAAAAAUUAAACCUCAAACCAAGUCGCUCCGAGGAGAGGAGGUACAUGUUGAUUCUGUCGGCAUCUGGAAAGUGGGAUUCAGGAAUGCAUUUUGCAAAAUUGUGCUUUCCAAGGAAAGGAAAGAAAAACAGAUAUAGGGCAGUAUGUUGCAAGGUUCUUGUCAAAGGAAGAAGAUCCAAGGACGAAUGUUGCAAGACUGUGCUGCUAAAGGAAGUGGCUUCUUAGCUCAUUUGAUCUGGAACAAAGCUUACAGAUUAUCUUGGCCACUCCCCUGGCUGGACAGAAGGGGAAACUAAGGCUCGGGGAGGGGAAGACCUAUGCCCAAGGCCAGGCUGGGAGUUCCUGACAAGCUGGCGUUACUAGGCUUCUCAACCACCUCCUGCCUGCUGCCUUUCCUCUAGCCCUCGAGCACGGGUCACGACCACUUCUGAUUUUGCUCCAGGCCCCUAGCCCACCCUCCACCCUCACAUUCUCUUGGACAGCAUCCCCGGUCACAAGAUAGGACUCAAUCUGGGAACUUGGAUCUCCACCUGCCAGAUACCAGGGGCCAAAGCCAGUAAGAGGCUGGGGUAAGCUGGAGAGGAAGGAGCUGAGUCUGAUGAUGUGGCCUGACCUCAGAAAGGAAGCCUGGUCACCAGGGGGAAUUUCCCCGGGGUGAGGUCUCAUGUCUAUGCAAAUGAUGCACUCCAAUUAACCUGGACCCCAGAACGGGAGAGGGGCAAAGGGAGACAGCACUGUGCUAGGCUCCUCCUGUGCUGCGUCUCCAGAACAGCCACCUAGGUAGGAAAGCGGGGGGUGUGGCGGGGCGGGGGGGGGGGGGGUGCUGAGGCCCAGUGAGGGGAAGGCAGGUCUGCCCCAGAGAACGCAGUGCACCCCCAAAGGGACACCAGGCCUUGGAGAGCAAUGCCGGGGGUGGAGUUGGAGCCGCUGCUGUUGCCCCUGACCAGAGUGACAGUGACAAGGCUCGAGUGGGAGAAGCCUAGCAAAGUUUCAUUUUGGGUUUCCAUCUCACUCACCUGGGGACUUUUGUCCUGGGGACAGCUAAAAGGCAAGCGGGGAUGUAGGGACCCUGACUCCGCGUGGGCAAAUCCCUGCACUCAGGUUUUCCAAAGCCCGAAGGUGGGGUGUGCAGCAGUGGCACUGUUAACCCUUUCACCCCCAGCUUCUAGAACACUCCUUGAAAAGUGGACCGAGUGGGACGGGGGCUGUUGACAGCAAAUCUCUCCCUCCUGCCUCUUUACAUUUCACUCAGUUGAGCCUCACUACUCCACAAAGACUUCCCUGGGGAUUUCGUUCCUCUCAAAGGCGGAUCCUGCUUACUGCCUGGUUCUCCAAGGAGCUGGUCUUGCCUCCCCCAAAGCAGGGCUGCAAACAGGAGCAGAGCUCAAGUCCAGAGCAUUUGGGUGCAAAGUCUGCUCUCCACAGAGCCUGGUUGUUUGUUCUGCUGUCGAAGAACAUACCCGAGAGCAGGCAGGUCAGUGAUUCCCGGAGUUGUGUGCCACACACUAAGGCUGUGUGCCAAGGAAAGUAUGAGUGCAUACGUGCUCUGGUGAGCGCUUGUGAAAGGCGAGUCUAGGUACUUGUGUGAGGAGUUUCGUGUAGUACGCAUAUGGACAACAGUAUCUGUAUUUCUGA